AACGCAGACAUGGCCGGCGCGGGUCAAAGUAUCAGUAUUUGUUCUUAUCAACCUAAUAUUUGAUACGGGUUGUAUUUGGACCCAAAAUAUUAAACUUAUUUUUGCAAGCUAGCGGAGUGCUUGAAGCCUGCUUCACCUCCGUCGCGGGUCGAUCGGCCCGGUAUUGCGCUAUCUCCGGGAUCGGAGCCACGGUUU